rnacentral:rRNA from 1 species
UACAGAGGGUGCAAGCGUUGUUCGGAAUUAUUGGGCGUAAAGCGCGUGUAGGCGGCUUUGCAAGUCGGGUGUGAAAGCCCUCGGCUCAACCGAGGAAGUGCGCCCCGAAAACUGCAGGAGCUUGAGUACCGGAGAGGAUGGCGGAAUUCCCCAAGUAGAGGUGAAAUUCGUAGAUAUGGGGAGGAACACCCGUGGCUAAGGCGGCUCUCUAGUACGGUACUGACGCUGAGACGCGAAAGCGUGGGGAGCAAACAGGG